rnacentral:tRNA from 1 species
GCCUGUUUGGCUCAGUGGAUAGAGCGUCAGCCUGUGGACUGAAGGGUCCCGGGUUCAAUUCCCGUCAAGGGCA